rnacentral:rRNA from 1 species
CGAACGCGAAAGUUCCCUUCGGGGGGCGGGUGGAGUGGCGUCCGGGUGAGUAACACGUAGGUAAUCUACCUUUGGGUGGGGAAUAACAACCGGAAACGGUUGCUAAUACCGCAUAAUGCAGCGGCACCGCAUGGUGACAGUUGUUAAAGCGGGGGAUCGCAAGACCUCGCGCCUAAAGAGGAGCCUGUGGCGGAUUAGCUAGUUGGCAGGGUAACGGCCUACCAAGGCAACGAUCCGUAGCCGGCCUGAGAGGGCGGUCGGCCACACUGACACUGAAAUACGGGUCAGACUCCUACGGGAGGCAGCAGUCGGGAAUUUUGGGCAAUGGGCGCAAGCCUGACCCAGCAACGCCGCGUGAAGGAUGAAAUCCCUCGGGAUGUAAACUUCGCAAGAACAGGAAGAAUAAGUCCGUGUUAAUAGCACGGGUGAUGACGGUACUGUUUGUAAGCUCCGGCUAACUCCGUGCCAGCAGCCGCGGUAAUACGGGGGGAGCAAGCGUUGUUCGGAUUUACUGGGCGUAAAGGGCGCGUAGGCGGCCAGUGCAAGUCAGUUGUGAAAUCUCCGGGCUUAACUCGGAAAGGUCAACUGAUACUGCUCGGCUAGAGUGCGGAAGGGGCAACUGGAAUUCUUGGUGUAGCGGUGAAAUGCUUAAAUAUCAAGAGGAACACCUGCGGCGAAA